UAAAUCCUUUCCUUGAGGAUUAUUUAUUAGACUAAAUUCCAACACAUCUGAUGAAUUAAAUAAUUGAUACAAGUCCAAUCUAAUAAAGAAUAAAUUGUGGGCUACACUUUUUAAAUAAAAUUUUAACAGGGUCUUGAGCCCAAACUAAUUACUUAUUCAAAUAAUAUCCCUAGCCCAAUCCCAAUUCCUUUUGAGCCCAAGACUCUAAAUUCUUCCUUCCGCCAUCAGAGCCCUUCUCCUCACCCUUCACGUUGAAUCCUCCUUCUGCAAGGAAACAUCUUUUCAAAUUUUAAAAUUCAGUCAAAACAAUUAAUCCCAAAUUAAUUGAGCAAUCAAACACCAAAAUUACUCCCCUCCCACGUUUCAGCAUUUAUUCCACUCUUCACCCAUUCUUGCAAAUCUUUCCUAAUUUUUAGACCACAAUCAAAGUGAAAUGAAUCACCAUAAAUGACUCUCAAUACACGGCUAUAUAAAUCCUCAUACCCUAAUCUCUUUCCCUCACACAAAUUCGCAGCCACUCACUUCUUCACAAAAUGGCGGAGGGAACAGUAGAAAGGAAUUUCAUUUUUUUCCUCACUAAAUCCUAAUUUCAUCACGAAAUUAGGAUCGAUUCGGGAGGGGGAGAAGCCAGAAGCUCCAAUCUUUUGUUUCAAGCCAAUUUGUUCUUUCGAAGGUGAUAUCAUGCGCGCGAAACUUGAUUCCAAGGGAAAGGAUAUAGUUGAGACUUAAGCGCUUUGAGGUUGAGCGGCGACGAGCGGUUGACGGUGUUGAGCAAAUUAAAUAAAUUGAUAGUAUUGUCUUGAAACUCCGAGUGUCGUCGUGUCUUCACACACGACUUCACUCUUCUCUUGGAUGCUUCCGCUGAAACAUGUUUUACUUAUUUUUGGUUGAUCUUGAAACUAUUUUGAUUUCCGUUUAGAA